UCCGUAGGGUGCGAGCGUUAAUCGGAAUUACUGGGCGUAAAGCGUGCGCAGGCGGUUCGUUGUGUCGGUGGUGAAAGCCCCGGGCUUAACCUGGGAAUGGCCAUGGAAACUGGCGAACUGGAGUGUGGCAGAGGGGGGUGGAAUUCCAGGUGUAGCGGUGAAAUGCGUAGAUAUCUGGAGGAACACCGGUGGCGAAGGCGGCAUCCUGGACCAAUAUUGACGCUGAGGAGCGAAAGCCAGGGGAGCAAACGGG
rnacentral:rRNA from 1 species